rnacentral:lncRNA from 1 species
GGAGUGGAGAGGUUCCCACACUGAUCAGACCCUGCUAGUUUUAUUGCGGUUGGAAAAGGUCACUGAGAGGAUAAGACUUCCGAUUGACCUGAAAGCUGGACCCAGCCAAUCACAGGCUCCUCAGCCCCACCUUCAUCCUUGAAAUCAACUUUCUAUCCACUAUUUACACAGCAGGCUUUAUUUUCAAGAAUGCAGUCUUGAGAGAGCAAGGUGGUGUUGAGACCAUCUGGAUAGCAUAUGUGCCUGAACCCAGUAAAGGUCUCUGUACAGACUUCUAAGAUUCUGGCAAGUGGCCAUGGAGGUCUACUCAUAGGUAGAAACCUCAUAGCCAUUUCGUAGAGUGACGUUUUCUGUUGUGAGUCAGCCUCAGGACCCACAUCAGGGGUCACUGCAGAGUUGCUAUGACAGCGGGCUGGAGGAGUCAGAAACACCAAGCAGUAAGAGUUCAUCAGGGCCAAGACUGGGUGCCCUUCCACUCCCAGAGGACAACUAUGAAAGGACCACGCCGGAUGGCAGUGUUGGUGAGGCAGAGCAUAUGGAAAAUGGUGCCGCACCAUUCCAAGGAACUGCAGGUACUAAAACAAUGGGCAGUAUUCUUGAAGGCACAGCACACUGAGCUCUACCUUCUCCUCCUGCCUACCCUCAGGCAAUGUUUUGGAGGCCAUUCAAUGAGUUAGAUAUCUGUGGCCAAGCUAAGGAAGUAAAAAAGGAGUAGCUAGUGACUGAAUGAGGGCACUGUAUAUUUUCCACAUAUUACCCAUCAUCUGACUAUAAAAAGAAAGGUUUGAUAUAAAAAAGAUGGAAAGAGAUUGAGAGAGAUGGAACAAUCAUUACCUUAUAAAUUAUCAAGAGUUUUUCUUCAGGAUGUGACUAGCAAAAAUAUUUUAGAAUGAAUGCUCAUACUGUCAGUUUUCUUAAAAGUUUCUCGAUAGUGUAUGUGGUAUGUGAACAUAUAAUACAGUGAUUAACUAGGUUAGAAUGUUGGUAAUAGAGAUUACUAGGCUGAUGAUUAUAAAAUUAAUUAUACUGAGGAUAAAUACUAAGCACUAGUUGGUUGAUUCUUUUUAAACCUAGAAUUUUUUGUGUAAUGUAGUUUUAAAUAAGAUCAAGCAUUCUGCUGUUUCACAACGGUGGACAUUCACAACUUGUAUACUUAGGGAGGAAAAAUUAUGAUUUUGCAUAAAUAUUUUUAACCUCCAUGUGUGAAAGAAAAAGAUUCUGAUUCUUUCCAAUCAGUGCCUCUGAAAAAUCAAUCUUCUUUUUCAAAUUAGUCACAAAUUUAUUUUGUGAAUGUGUUCUUUAUAUGCAAUGCAAAGUUUCAAAAGAAUUUAAGUCAAUCUACCAUUGGCAAAGCCUUAUCAAAUAGACAUUAAAUAGACAAGCAAACCACUAAUAAAUUCCAACAGCCUUAUAAAAGUUGGUGAAUGCUACUGCGAUUGUAAAGAUCAUUAGUGCUAUUAAAAAUGGUGAUGCCAUUGAUACUAGUCUUUAUCAUUGAAACUAUUUUCAAGGGCUAAAAAUGGGGGAAAGCGUAAACUGAGCUCACUUCUUAAUAAGUUCACAAUUGAAAUUACUGUCUUGUUCAACCUCCCAUUUUGAAAAUGUAAACUUGUUUAUAAGUCACUUAUGGAAUUGUUAAACAUAAGAGCCCAUCUCCUUGUUUUCAUACUGAUUAUAGAAAACAAUCUAAAAUUCUUUAUAUAUAUAAUGAAAAUAAUCAGAGUUGACUAUAGUAAGUACAGAUGACAAUUUAUUU